GAUGAAGAACGUAGCGAAAUGCGAUAAGUAAUGUGAAUUGCAGAAUUCAGUGAAUCAUCGAAUCUUUGAACGCACAUUGCGCCCUUUGGCAUUCCGAAGGGCACACCUGUCCGAGCGCCGUCGCACAACUGAGGCGCAGCCUUGCGUUGGCGGGCGACUUGUGAGUAGCGAGUCGCCGCCCAAACGAGACGGCGCCGCGCCGCGGCCGACGAAGCACGAAAGCGGAAGUCGACGCGGAGGCGGUUGCCUGUAGGAAGACACAGCUUGGCCUCGGAUCAGGUGGGGAUACCCGUUGAACUUAAGCAUAUCAAUAAGCGGAGGA
rnacentral:misc_RNA from 1 species